rnacentral:snRNA from 1 species
AUACUUACCUGGACGGGGUCAACAAGCGAUCAAGAAGGCUCGUGGCCUAGAUCAAUGGCUCACAUUGCACUUGGUGAGAGUGUUGGUCUACCAUCUCCCAAUUGAGAGAGUGGACAUCGUAAUUUGUGGUAGAGGGGGUACGCGUUCGCGCGGCCCCUGC